rnacentral:rRNA from 1 species
AGCGUACACGGUGGAUGCCCUGGCAGUCAGAGGCGAUGAAGGACGUGCUAAUCUGCGAUAAGCGUCGGUAAGGUGAUAUGAACCGUUAUAACCGGCGAUUUCCGAAUGGGGAAACCCAGUGUGAUUCGUCACACUAUCAUUAACUGAAUCCAUAGGUUAAUGAGGCGAACCGGGGGAACUGAAACAUCUAAGUACCCCGAGGAAAAGAAAUCAACCGAGAUUCCCCCAGUAGCGGCGAGCGAACGGGGAGCAGCCCAGAGCCUGAAUCAGUGUGUGUGUUAGUGGAAGCGUCUGGAAAGGCGCGCGAUACAGGGUGACAGCCCCGUACACAAAAAUGCACAUGCUGUGAGCUCGAUGAGUAGGGCGGGACACGUGGUAUCCUGUCUGAAUAUGGGGGGACCAUCCUCCAAGGCUAAAUACUCCUGACUGACCGAUAGUGAACCAGUACCGUGAGGGAAAGGCGAAAAGAACCCCGGCGAGGGGAGUGAAAAAGAACCUGAAACCGUGUACGUACAAGCAGUGGGAGCACAGAGCAAUCUGUGUGACUGCGUACCUUUUGUAUAAUGGGUCAGCGACUUAUAUUCUGUAGCAAGGUUAACCGAAUAGGGGAGCCGAAGGGAAACCGAGUCUUAACUGGGCGUUAAGUUGCAGGGUAUAGACCCGAAACCCGGUGAUCUAGCCAUGGGCAGGUUGAAGGUUGGGUAACACUAACUGGAGGACCGAACCGACUAAUGUUGAAAAAUUAGCGGAUGACUUGUGGCUGGGGGUGAAAGGCCAAUCAAACCGGGAGAUAGCUGGUUCUCCCCGAAAGCUAUUUAGGUAGCGCCUCGUGAAUUCAUCUCCGGGGGUAGAGCACUGUUUCGGCAAGGGGGUCAUCCCGACUUACCAACCCGAUGCAAACUGCGAAUACCGGAGAAUGUUAUCACGGGAGACACACGGCGGGUGCUAACGUCCGUCGUGAAGAGGGAAACAACCCAGACCGCCAGCUAAGGUCCCAAAGUCAUGGUUAAGUGGGAAACGAUGUGGGAAGGCCCAGACAGCCAGGAUGUUGGCUUAGAAGCAGCCAUCAUUUAAAGAAAGCGUAAUAGCUCACUGGUCGAGUCGGCCUGCGCGGAAGAUGUAACGGGGCUAAACCAUGCACCGAAGCUGCGGCAGCGACGCUGAUGCGUUGUUGGGUAGGGGAGCGUUCUGUAAGCCUGUGAAGGUGUACUGUGAGGUAUGCUGGAGGUAUCAGAAGUGCGAAUGCUGACAUAAGUAACGAUAAAGCGGGUGAAAAGCCCGCUCGCCGGAAGACCAAGGGUUCCUGUCCAACGUUAAUCGGGGCAGGGUGAGUCGACCCCUAAGGCGAGGCCGAAAGGCGUAGUCGAUGGGAAACAGGUUAAUAUUCCUGUACUUGGUGUUACUGCGAAGGGGGGACGGAGAAGGCUAUGUUGGCCGGGCGACGGUUGUCCCGGUUUAAGCGUGUAGGCUGGUUUUCCAGGCAAAUCCGGAAAAUCAAGGCUGAGGCGUGAUGACGAGGCACUACGGUGCUGAAGCAACAAAUGCCCUGCUUCCAGGAAAAGCCUCUAAGCAUCAGGUAACAUCAAAUCGUACCCCAAACCGACACAGGUGGUCAGGUAGAGAAUACCAAGGCGCUUGAGAGAACUCGGGUGAAGGAACUAGGCAAAAUGGUGCCGUAACUUCGGGAGAAGGCACGCUGAUAUGUAGGUGAAGUCCCUCGCGGAUGGAGCUGAAAUCAGUCGAAGAUACCAGCUGGCUGCAACUGUUUAUUAAAAACACAGCACUGUGCAAACACGAAAGUGGACGUAUACGGUGUGACGCCUGCCCGGUGCCGGAAGGUUAAUUGAUGGGGUCAGCGCAAGCGAAGCUCUUGAUCGAAGCCCCGGUAAACGGCGGCCGUAACUAUAACGGUCCUAAGGUAGCGAAAUUCCUUGUCGGGUAAGUUCCGACCUGCACGAAUGGCGUAAUGAUGGCCAGGCUGUCUCCACCCGAGACUCAGUGAAAUUGAACUCGCUGUGAAGAUGCAGUGUACCCGCGGCAAGACGGAAAGACCCCGUGAACCUUUACUAUAGCUUGACACUGAACAUUGAGCCUUGAUGUGUAGGAUAGGUGGGAGGCUUUGAAGUGUGGACGCCAGUCUGCAUGGAGCCGACCUUGAAAUACCACCCUUUAAUGUUUGAUGUUCUAACGUUGACCCGUAAUCCGGGUUGCGGACAGUGUCUGGUGGGUAGUUUGACUGGGGCGGUCUCCUCCUAAAGAGUAACGGAGGAGCACGAAGGUUGGCUAAUCCUGGUCGGACAUCAGGAGGUUAGUGCAAUGGCAUAAGCCAGCUUGACUGCGAGCGUGACGGCGCGAGCAGGUGCGAAAGCAGGUCAUAGUGAUCCGGUGGUUCUGAAUGGAAGGGCCAUCGCUCAACGGAUAAAAGGUACUCCGGGGAUAACAGGCUGAUACCGCCCAAGAGUUCAUAUCGACGGCGGUGUUUGGCACCUCGAUGUCGGCUCAUCACAUCCUGGGGCUGAAGUAGGUCCCAAGGGUAUGGCUGUUCGCCAUUUAAAGUGGUACGCGAGCUGGGUUUAGAACGUCGUGAGACAGUUCGGUCCCUAUCUGCCGUGGGCGCUGGAGAACUGAGGGGGGCUGCUCCUAGUACGAGAGGACCGGAGUGGACGCAUCACUGGUGUUCGGGUUGUCAUGCCAAUGGCACUGCCCGGUAGCUAAAUGCGGAAGAGAUAAGUGCUGAAAGCAUCUAAGCACGAAACUUGCCCCGAGAUGAGUUCUCCCUGACUCCUUGA